rnacentral:piRNA from 1 species
UGCCACCGUUUGUGAGCCUAUGUGCU